rnacentral:rRNA from 1 species
AGUGAACGCUGGCGGUAGGCCUAACACAUGCAAGUCGAACGGCAGCACAGUAAGAGCUUGCUCUUACGGGUGGCGAGUGGCGGACGGGUGAGGAAUACAUCGGAAUCUACUUUUUCGUGGGGGAUAACGUAGGGAAACUUACGCUAAUACCGCAUACGGCCUACGGGUGAAAGCAGGGGAUCUUCGGACCUUGCGCGAUUGAAUGAGCCGAUGUCGGAUUAGCUAGUUGGCGGGGUAAAGGCCCACCAAGGCGACGAUCCGUAGCUGGUCUGAGAGGAUGAUCAGCCAAACUGGAACUGAGACACGGUCCAGACUCCUACGGGAGGCAGCAGUGGGGAAUAUUGGACAAUGGGCGCAAGCCUGAUCCAGCCAUACCGCGUGGGUGAAGAAGGCCUUCGGGUUGUAAAGCCCUUUUGUUGGGAAAGAAAAGCAGCAGGUUAAUACCCCGCUGUUCUGACGGUACCCAAAGAAUAAGCACCGGCUAACUUCGUG